rnacentral:lncRNA from 10 species
GCGGCGCCCCCUGCAGGAGCCGGAGCGGCCGCUGCGUCCGCCAGUAGCGGGUUGCAGGCGCACCCUCCCCUCCAGGGCGGCCACGCAGCUGUCAGUGCCGCCGCCACUGCGAGGCUGGAGCGGAGCCCGGGUGGCCGAGGGAGGGGACCCCGCGAGAGGGCCGCGCGCCGGCCGCCGCCGCCCCGGCGCCCAGGCUCGGUGCUGGAGAGUCAUGCCUGUGAGCCCUGGGCACCUCCUGAUGUCCUGCGAGGUCACGGUGUUCCCAAACCUCAGGGUUGCCCUGCCCCACUCCAGAGGCUCUCAGGCCCCACCCCGGAGCCCUCUGUGCGGAGCCGCCUCCUCCUGGCCAGUUCCCCAGUAGUCCUGAAGGGAGACCUGCUGUGUGGAGCCUCUUCUGGGACCCAGCCAUGAGUGUGGAGCUGAGCAACUGAACCUGAAACUCUUCCACUGUGAGUCAAGGAGGCUUUUCCGCACAUGAAGGACGCUGAGCGGGAAGGACUCCUCUCUGCCUGCAGUUGUAGCGAGUGGACCAGCACCAGGGGCUCUCUAGACUGCCCCUCCUCCAUCGCCUUCCCUGCCUCUCCAGGACAGAGCAGCCACGUCUGCACACCUCGCCCUCUUUACACUCAGUUUUCAGAGCACGUUUCUCCUAUUUCCUGCGGGUUGCAGCGCCUACUUGAACUUAC